rnacentral:tRNA from 1 species
GAGGCCUUGGCUUAAUUAAAGUGUAUGAGUUGCAAUCAAAAGAUGUAAUAUAUAGUUUUACAGGUCUU